rnacentral:rRNA from 1 species
CCCGGGCCUUGUACACACCGCCCGUCACACCACGAAAGUUGGCUCGACCCGAAGUCGCUAACCCAACCGCAAGGAGGGAGGCGCCAACGGUCUGGUCGAUGAUUGGGGUG